CCCUUAGAUGUCCGGGGCCGCACGCGCGCUACACUGAAGGAAUCAGCGUGGCUUUCUCCCUGACCCGAAAGGGUUGGGAAACCCGUUGAAUCUCCUUCGUGAUAGGGAUUGGGGCUUGAAAUUGUUCCCCAUGAACGAGGAAUUCCCAGUAAGCGCGAGUCAUAAACUCGCGUUGAUUACGUCCCUGCCCUUUGUACACACCGCCCGUCGCUACUACCGAUUGAACGGUUUAGUGAGGGCCUCGGAUUGGUCUCGGCCCGCUCUUUACCGGGCGGCGCCGUUGGUCGAGAAGACGCUCGAACUUGAUCGUUUAGAGGAAGUAAAAGUCGUAACA
rnacentral:rRNA from 1 species